rnacentral:rRNA from 1 species
GGCGGCGUCUUACACAUGCAGUCGAACGGUGAACACGGAGCUUGCUCUGUGGGAUCAGUGGCGAACGGGUGAGUAACACGUGAGCAACCUGCCCCUGACUCUGGGAUAAGCGCUGGAAACGGCGUCUAAUACUGGAUAUGUGACGUGACCGCAUGGUCUGCGUUUGGAAAGAUUUUUCGGUUGGGGAUGGGCUCGCGGCCUAUCAGCUUGUUGGUGAGGUAAUGGCUCACCAAGGCGUCGACGGGUAGCCGGCCUGAGAGGGUGACCGGCCACACUGGGACUGAGACACGGCCCAGACUCCUACGGGAGGCAGCAGUGGGGAAUAUUGCACAAUGGGCGAAAGCCUGAUGCAGCAACGCCGCGUGAGGGAUGACGGCCUUCGGGUUGUAAACCUCUUUUAGCAGGGAAGAAGCGAAAGUGACGGUACCUGCAGAAAAAGCGCCGGCUAACUACGUGCCAGCAGCCGCGGUAAUACGUAGGGCGCAAGCGUUAUCCGGAAUUAUUGGGCGUAAAGAGCUCGUAGGCGGUUUGUCGCGUCUGCUGUGAAAUCCCGAGGCUCAACCUCGGGCCUGCAGUGGGUACGGGCAGACUAGAGUGCGGUAGGGGAGAUUGGAAUUCCUGGUGUAGCGGUGGAAUGCGCAGAUAUCAGGAGGAACACCGAUGGCGAAGGCAGAUCUCUGGGCCGUAACUGACGCUGAGGAGCGAAAGGGUGGGGAGCAAACAGGCUUAGAUACCCUGGUAGUCCACCCCGUAAACGUUGGGAACUAGUUGUGGGGUCCAUUCCACGGAUUCCGUGACGCAGCUACGCAUUAAGUUCCCCGCCUGGGGAGUACGGCCGCAAGGCUAAAACUCAAGGAAUUGACGGGGACCCGCACAAGCGGCGGAGCAUGCGGAUUAAUUCGAUGCAACGCGAGAACCUUACCAAGGCUUGACAUAUACGAGAACGGGCCAGAAAUGGUCAACUCUUUGGACACUCGUAACAGGUGGUGCAUGGUUGUCGUCAGCUCGUGUCGUGAGAUGUUGGGUUAAGUCCCGCAACGAGCGCAACCGUCGUCUAUGUUGCCAGCACGUAAUGGUGGUACUCAUGGGAUACUGCUGGGGAUCAACUCGAGGAAGGUGGGAUGACGUCCGAAUCAUCAUGCCCCUUUAUGGUCUUGGGGCCUUC